UUUUUCGGCUUGGUCUUUUUUAAUACACUACAAUUUAAACAUGAUUCAAUCCAAUGAUAAAUAAAACCUAAAGAUUUUUUUACUAGUAAAAUAUAAAUUCCGCGACCUCAUCCAGUAAAAAUCCAGAUCAAAAGUUUGCUUUCCGGCCACCCCUGCUAAUUGGUGUAAGUUUUCUUUUCUUAGACAUAAUGAAAAAAUAAAGUCACUGUUGAAAAAUAUGUAUAUUUCCAAUUCAAUAUCAACAUGGUUAUAUAAAAUUAUGUUCUAAUUGUUGGUAUAGGUAAUAUUGUCAUUUGCAUACAUGUAUACAAGUAAGAUUGGUCUAAAAUUUUGUGUUUUUGUUGGGCCUGAGCUUAACCAAAAAGAAUGGUUUCUGCCUCUGGGCUGGGCCAUGCAUAAAGCCUACAUAUAUGAGUAGCAAAGCCCAGUCAGUUUCACAAGAUCCAUCCUCCAGGGUCAGCUCCAUAACCGACUAGUGCUAUCGUACGUGUGUCGGCGUUCGAUUCUAGGGUUUUCAUUUCCAUUCCGGAUGCAGAAUCCUCUUCUGUUGAGCUUUAUUUAUGUAUAAUUGAAAUGGAUAGUUUGUGUUUAUCA
rnacentral:lncRNA from 1 species